rnacentral:ribozyme from 16 species
AAAAUAGGUAGUGGUAAUAACCCGCAUAUGAAAUUGCUUGGAACCACAUUUUGUAAUUGCUUUUUGUUUGACCCCCUUUUUUACUUCCUCCAAACUUGUUUAACAAUUAAAUUCAACAAAAAAAAGAACG